GACUCUCGGCAACGGAUAUCUCGGCUCUCGCAUCGAUGAAGAACGUAGCAAAAUGCGAUACCUGGUGUGAAUUGCAGAAUCCCGCGAACCAUCGAGUUUUGAACGCAAGUUGCGCCCGAGGCCUUCUGGUUGAGGGCACGCCUGCCUGGGCGUCA
rnacentral:rRNA from 1 species